rnacentral:RNase_P_RNA from 1 species
AAUGGUGAGUAAUCGCGGCUCAUGUUUUACAUGAGUUGAGGAAAGUCCAGGCUCGCCCGGUGCUGAGAUGCCCGGAGUGUUCGUGCCAUCUGCAAAGGUGGGCAGCAGUUUAUACUGCUGACGGCGGGGAAAUGAUGCUAAGUCCUUCAUGGAUAUGCUCAAAGUACCCUGAAAGUGCCACAGUGACGAAUUCUUCUGGAAACGGAAGAAAUGGAACGGGUAAACCCCACGAGCGAGCAACCCAAACUAUGGUAGGGGCACCAUCAUGCGGGAAAAUGAACCAAAGUGAUGGAUCGGUCAUCUUUUUGACUGAUAGUUAUAUGAUUACUCCUGUUGUGCGAGAUUGGCAUCGUUUGAAGCACGCAGGAACAGAACCUGGCUUACAGCC